rnacentral:rRNA from 1 species
GCAAGUCGAGCGGAGACAGUGAGUAGCUUGCUAUGAACUGUUUUAGCGGCGGACGGGUGAGUAACGCGUGAGCAACCUUUCCCAGACAGGGGAAUAACACACCGAAAGGUGUACUAAUACCGCAUAAGACCACGGGAUCACAUGGCUCCGGGGUAAAAGAUUUAUCGGUUUGGGGUGGGCUCGCGUCCGAUUAGGUAGUUGGUGAGGUAACGGCCCACCAAGCCGACGAUCGGUAGCCGACCUGAGAGGGUGAUCGGCCACAUUGGGACUGAGACACGGCCCAAACUCCUACGGGAGGCAGCAGUGGGGAAUAUUGGGCAAUGGGGGGAACCCUGACCCAGCAACGCCGCGUGGAGGAAGAAGGUUUUCGGAUCGUAAACUCCUGUCCUUGGAGACGAGUAGAAGACGGUAUCCAAGGAGGAAGCCCCGGCUAACUACGUGCCAGCAGCCGCGGUAAUACGUAGGGGGCAAGCGUUGUCCGGAAUAAUUGGGCGUAAAGGGCGCGUAGGCGGCUCGGUAAGUCUGGAGUGAAAGUCCUGCUUUUAAGGUGGGAAUUGCUUUGGAUACUGUCGGGCUUGAGUGCAGGAGAGGUUAGUGGAAUUCCCAGUGUAGCGGUGAAAUGCGUAGAGAUUGGGAGGAACACCAGUGGCGAAGGCGACUAACUGGACUGUAACUGACGCUGAGGCGCGAAAGUGUGGGGAGCAAACAGGAUUAGAUACCCUGGUAGUCCACACUGUAACGAUGAAUGCUAGGUGUAGGGGGUAUCGACCCCUUCUGUGCCGCAGUCAACACAAUAAGCAUUCCGCCUGGGGAGUACGGCCGCAAGGUUGAAACUCAAAGGAAUUGACGGGGGCCCGCACAAGCAGCGGAGCAUGUGGUUUAAUUCGACGCAACGCGAAGAAACCUUACCAGGUCUUGACAUCCACUUAAACUUACAGAGAUGUA